rnacentral:rRNA from 1 species
AUUGAACGCUGGCGGCAGGCCUAACACAUGCAAGUCGAACGGUAACAGGAAACAGCUUGCUGUUUCGCUGACGAGUGGCGGACGGGUGAGUAAUGUCUGGGAAACUGCCUGAUGGAGGGGGAUAACUACUGGAAACGGUAGCUAAUACCGCAUAACGUCGCAAGACCAAAGAGGGGGACCUUCGGGCCUCUUGCCAUCGGAUGUGCCCAGAUGGGAUUAGCUAGUAGGUGGGGUAACGGCUCACCUAGGCGACGAUCCCUAGCUGGUCUGAGAGGAUGACCAGCCAACAGGGAACGGAAACACGGGCCAAACCCGUAGGGGAGGCAGGAGUGGGGAAAUUUGCAAAAGGGGCGCAAGCCUGAUGCCGCCAGGCCGGGGGUAUGAAGAAGGCCUUCGGGUUGUAAAAUACUUUCAGGGGGGAGGAAGGGAGUAAAAUUAAUACCUUUACCCAUUGACUUUACCCGCAGAAGAAGCACCGGCUAACCCCGU